rnacentral:rRNA from 1 species
CCUACGGGAGGCAGCAGUGGGGAAUAUUGCACAAUGGGGGAAACCCUGAUGCAGCGACGCCGCGUGAGUGAAGAAGUACUUCGUUAUGUAAAGCUCUAUCAGCAGGGAAGAAAAUGACGGUACCUGAGUAAUAAGCCCCGGCUAACUCCGUGCCAGCAGCCGCGGUAAUACGUAGGGGGCAAGCGUUAUCCGGAUUUACUGGGUGUAAAGGGAGCGGAGACGGCAGUGCAAGUCUGGAGUGAAAGGCGGGGGCUCAACCCCGGAACUGCUCUGGAAACUGGAAGGCUGGAGUGCAGGAGAGGGAAGUAGAAUUCCUGGUGUAGCGGUGAAAUGCGUAGAUAUCAGGAGGAACACCAGUGGCGAAGGCGGCUUACUGGACUGUAACUGACGUUGAGGUUCGAAAGCGUGGGGAGCAAACAGGAUUAGAUACCCGAGUAGUC